GUAUGGGGGUGGGUGGGAUGGUGUCCUCGGGCUGACAUAAGGGAGGAGAGGCUCUUUCUCCAUAAUGGGUUCUACGGAUAACGGCUAAUUCGCCGGUCGGAAUACCAGAAACCAGGAGAUAGUCCUUGAAAAUGGCUGUUUUCACGUGACACCCAAUUUGUGAGUCUUGGUGCUAUGGAACAGAAGAGACUAUGAGAGAGGAAUAGGUCUUGUUUGGCUAUCGAAUAGGAACAAAU
rnacentral:lncRNA from 1 species